rnacentral:rRNA from 1 species
UACGUAGGGUGCGAGCGUUAAUCGGAAUUACUGGGCGUAAAGUGUGCGCAGGCGGCCGAGCAAGUCGAGUGUGAAAGCCCCGGGCUUAACUUGGGAAUUGCGCUCGAAACUACUUGGCUGGAGUGUGGCAGAGGAAGGUGGAAUUCCAGGUGUAGCGGUGAAAUGCGUAGAGAUCUGGAGGAACACCGAUGGCGAAGGCAGCCCCCUGGGCUAACACUGACGCUCAUGCACGAAAGCGUGGGGAGCAAACAGG